GGAUGAAGAACGUAGCGAAAUGCGAUAAGUAGUGUGAAUUGCAGAAUUCAGUGAAUCAUCGAAUCUUUGAACGCACAUUGCGCCUCCUGGUAUUCCGGGAGGCAUGCCUGUUCGAGCGUCAUUAAAAUCACUCAAGCUUAGGUUUACCUAUUGCUUGGUCUUGGAGAUGGAAGCCAAUUUAUUGGAAUCCUCUUCGAAAUUCAAUGGCGAAGACCCUUGCUCUCCCAAGUGUAGUAAUAACUUAUGUCACUGAAGGAAGCGAGAAAUCUUCUGCCGUAACCCCCAUAUUUUCUAUGAUUGACCUCGGAUCAGGUAGGGAUACCCGCUGAACUUAAGCAUAUCAAUAAGCGGAGGA
rnacentral:misc_RNA from 1 species